AUCAGCAGUGAGGGCAUGGGUGCUAAGGUCCAUGUCCGAGAGGGAAAGAACCCAGACCAUCAGCUAAGGUCCCAAAAUGUAUGUUAAGUUGAAUAAACGAGGUUGAACUGCUUAGACAGCUAGGAUGUUGGCUUGGAAGCAGCCAUUCAUUUAAAGAGUGCGUAACAGCUCACUAGUCGAGCGAUCCGGCAUGGAUAAUAAUCGGGCAUAAAUAUACUACCGAAGCUAUGGUCCCCAAGUUUACUUGGGGAGGUAGGGGAGCAUUCUAAUGGGGUUGAAGGUGAUCUGUAAGGGUUGCUGGACUAAUUAGAAAAGAAAAUGUAGGCAUAAGUAACGAUAAUGCGGGCGAGAAACCCGCACACCGAAAGACUAAGGUUUCCUCAGCUAUGCUAAUCAGCUGAGGGUUAGUCGGGACCUAACACGAACCCGAAAGGGGUAGUGGAUGGACAACAGGUUAAUAUUCCUGUACCUGCUCACGCUAAAAGUGACGGAGGCGUAUAUUUGGUGCGAACUGACGGAAUAGUUCGUUGAAGCCAGUGGUAACACGGCGAUAGUACACUGAGGCUACGGCCAAGGUGAUAAUCCAGAGAAGCGACUUCCAAGAAAAGCGAGUGAAGCAGCCCGUACCCUAAACCGACACAGGUAGUUGGGAUGAGAAUUCUAAGGUGCUCGAGAGAUUCAUGGCUAAGGAACUAGGCAAAAUAGACGCGUAACUUCGGGAGAAGCGUCGCCUGUAGCAAUACAGGCCGCAGUGAAAAGAUCCAAGCGACUGUUUAUCAAAAACACAGGGCUCUGCUAAAUCGAAAGAUGACGUAUAGGGCCUGACACCUGCCCGGUGCUGGAAGGUUAAGUGGAGGGCUUAGAGGUUUACCUCGAAGGUCUGAAAUGAAGCCCCAGUAAACGGCGGCCGUAACAAUAACGGUCCUAAGGUAGCGAAAUUCCUUGUCGGGUAAGUUCCGACCUGCACGAAUGGCGUAACGAUGGGGGCGCUGUCUCUACCCGAGACUCAGUGAAAUUGAAAUCGCCGUGAAGAUGCGGUGUAUCCGCGGCUAGACGGAAAGACCCCGUGAACCUUUACUAUAGCUUCACAGUGAACUUUGAGCAUGUUUGUGUAGGAUAGCUGGGAGGCUUUGAAGUGGGAACGCCAGUUCUCAUGGAGCCAACCUUGAAAUACCAGCCUGACAUGUUUGAGGUUCUAACUUGGUCCCCUUAUCGGGGAUGAGGACACUGUGUGGUGGGUAGUUUGACUGGGGCGGUCUCCUCCCAAAGCGUAACGGAGGAGCACAAAGGUGGGCUAAGCAUGGUCGGACAUCAUGCGGUUAGUGUAAUGGCACAAGCCCGCUUAACUGCGAGACAGACACGUCGAGCAGGUACGAAAGUAGGUCAUAGUGAUCCGGUGGUUCUGUAUGGAAGGGCCAUCGCUCAACGGAUAAAAGGUACUCCGGGGAUAACAGGCUGAUACCGCCCAAGAGUUCACAUCGACGGCGGUGUUUGGCACCUCGAUGUCGGCUCAUCACAUCCUGGGGCUGAAGCCGGUCCCAAGGGUAUGGCUGUUCGCCAUUUAAAGUGGUACGCGAGCUGGGUUUAGAACGUCGUGAGACAGUUCGGUCCCUAUCUGCCGUGGACGUUGGAGAUUUGAGGAAAGCUGCUCCUAGUACGAGAGGACCGGAGUGGACGAACCUCUGGUGUUCGGGUUGUGACGCCAGUCGCAUUGCCCGGUAGCUAUGUUCGGACAGGAUAACCGCUGAAAGCAUCUAAGCGGGAAGCCCCUUCCAAGAUGAGAUCUCCCUGGACCCUCGAGGUCCCUGAAGAGCCGUUCAAGACCAGGACGUUGAUAGGUCGGGUGUGUAAGCGCUGCGAGGCGUUGAGCUAACCGAUACUAAUUGCUCGUGCGGCUUGACC
rnacentral:rRNA from 14 species